rnacentral:snoRNA from 1 species
UUAUUGAGGUAAAACCAUAAUGUAAAAAUCCUCACUUCUCCUAGUGUCCCAUGCCAGAGCAAACUGUAGCCCUGAACCCUUGCUGGCCUUGUCCAUGGGCUUUGAGCACUGAAGUGAGGGGGGGGGGG